rnacentral:lncRNA from 1 species
GUGAACUGCGCAUGCGAGGGAUCUAGGCUGCGCGCUCCUUAUGAGAAUCUAACGCCUGAUGACCUAUCACUGUCUCCCAUCACUCCCAGAUGGGACCGUCUAGUUGCAGGAAAACAAGCUCAGGGCUCCCACUGAUUCUACAUUAUGCACACCAAAGAGAGUUCUAGAAAAAAUGAGAAUAAGAAAUUUACCUGUAAUCCUUGCUCAAGAAACUGAAGCUCUGAGGCCACAUUGUUCCAGCCUUUUGCAGCUCCUGCAUGUGGAUACCAGCACCAGCAGCUCCCCGACCAGGGGCCCCAGCUAAGCCCUCCCAGAGGAUGAUCUUGGCUUUGUACAUGGGGUGUCAAUAUCCUGUGAGUCCAACAGAGGGAAGACAUAAGAAUAUGGUCACCCAGGGCUCUGCUCAAGUCCCUGCACCAAUGCAACCUGCCAAGGGAAAGCGCUCACCAUGGUUCUGUCUUGACCUGCCAGUUUGUUUCCUCUGGCCCCAUACUGGGAUCCAUUCCUGGGACAACUAGAAGUGCCAGGGAGUUAAAGCCCCAAGAGCGACCUUCAAGCCAAUAAGAGAUGGAGUUGGAAUGAAAACCUCAGCUUCCUCAUACCUCAGUGGGACAAUCCUGAGAUGUGUUCCUCAAGUCUCUCCAAGGACCUGAUGGGACUGAGUCCUGGUUGCUCAUGAGAGAAACCAGCAGGACUGGAUGUCAGUGAUUGCACCAUGCAGGAUUACAGAUUGUGCUGAGUUUAGAUUUUCUGCCUUCCUCCUCAGUUGUCAGGCUGCUAGCCAGCUCUUCUGCUCCCAUGACACCUGCAUCGAAUGCCUGCCCUUUCCUUACUACAAGACCCUUUCCAGUUCCCAGAUUAGAAUCUGCCACAGGCUAGGAAUCCCACAUCCCAGUAGUGAUUUGGCUCCAAGUGCAAAGGCACCUAGUGUCUGCCUUUUGUUCAGCAGCUUGGUGAUGGACAUAUCCAGGACUCAGAGACCCCUUUCCCUCAGCUCUCUGAGUUGGAAGCUGUCAGGUGCAGAAGGGCAACAUCUUACAUACACAGGGUUUGGGCAGGUCUGGGCAGUGCCUGGUUAAUGUUAAAUAAUGCAGAUAAAGGAAUUGUUGACAUCUGAAAGUCAAUAUGAAAAUUGUAUGCACUGCUGUGACUCAUGCAACUUCACUCCCAGCCCUGGUUCUCAUGAUUCCAGAAGUGGAAAAAAUAAGGCAACUCUUUUCCUCACAAUUCAAAAAAAUACCUAUUGAGCAACAUCAGCUUGGCCCACACAAGACAAUUUUUAUCCCUUCCGUUAGUUAACUUUGCUUUGGCCAAAGGCCAGAAAAACCUCAUUCUUUACAGGCAACCUCAGACCACCAUCCUGGAUCCACUUCAAAAACUAACUGCAGACCUGUGUCUUACUAGAGGUGAUUUGGUAGCAUUGAAGAUCAAAUCCCGAUUUAAAAAAUUAAAAAAAAAAUGAACAUAAAAUGCAUUUUUAACAAUG